rfam:Gammaproteobacteria bacterium Q1 genomic scaffold scaffold13, whole genome shotgun sequence.
UCUAGUCUCGGCUUGAGUAUCCUUACGGGCUUUUCGGCUGAGACUAACAAAUUUAGGAGUGCGUUAUGGCCCGUAUAGCUGGCAUUAACAUUCCUCUA